rnacentral:rRNA from 1 species
GCGAGUGGCGGACGGGUGAGUAACGCGUGGGAAUCUGCCUACUGGUGGGGGAUAGCCCGGAGAAAUUCGGAUUAAUACCGCAUAAGCCCUACGGGGGAAAGCUGGGGAUCUUCGGACCUGGCGCUAGUAGAUGAGCCCGCGUUAGAUUAGCUUGUUGGUGGGGUAAUGGCCUACCAAGGCGACGAUCUAUAGCUGGUCUGAGAGGACGAUCAGCCACACUGGGACUGAGACACGGCCCAGACUCC